rnacentral:lncRNA from 1 species
UGCAGCUAUGUUUUCUGUCAGCUUGUCUUCUCUGUUUGGCUAUCAUUGUUGGCUAGUCAGCAAAAAUAAAUCUACAUUAGAGGCAUUCAGAAGUCCAGUAUUUCGACAUGGAACAGAUAAGAAUGGAUUCAGCUUGGGUUUCAGUAAAAACAUGCGACAAGUUUUUGGUGAUGAGAAGAAGUACUGGUUGCUACCCAUUUUUUCAAGGUACUUCUUUGUUAAAAUUUUCAGGCUUUAAACUAAUGAAAAUAAUACAGCAAAAGAUAGUUUCAGGAAAAGCCUCUAGUUCCAUAGGCUUGUAAUUCUGUGUAGGAACUCUUAUUUUUAAAAAAUA